rnacentral:rRNA from 1 species
CCUACGGGAGGCAGCAGUGAGGAAUAUUGGUCAAUGGGCGUAAGCCUGAACCAGCCAAGUCGCGUGAGGGAUGAAGGUUCUAUGGAUCGUAAACCUCUUUUAUAAGGGAAUAAAGUGUGGGACGUGUCCUGUUUUGUAUGUACCUUAUGAAUAAGCAUCGGCUAACUCCGUGCCAGCAGCCGCGGUAAUACGGAGGAUCCGAGCGUUAUCCGGAUUUAUUGGGUUUAAAGGGUGCGUAGGCGGCCUUUUAAGUCAGCGGUGAAAGUCUGUGGCUCAACCAUAGAAGUGCCGUUGAAACUGGGAGGCUUGAGUAUGUUUGAGGCAGGCGGAAUGCGUGGUGUAGCGGUGAAAUGCUUAGAUAUCACGCAGAACCCCGAGUGCGAAGGCAGCCUGCCAAGCCAUGACUGACGCUGAUGCACGAAAGCGUGGGGAUCAAACAGGAUUAGAUACCCCAGUAGUC